rnacentral:misc_RNA from 1 species
GAAAUGCGAUAAGUAAUGUGAAUUGCAGAAUUCAGUGAAUCAUCGAAUCUUUGAACGCACAUUGCGCCCGCCAGUAUUCUGGCGGGCAUGCCUGUCCGAGCGUCAUUUCAACCAUCAAGCCCCCGGGCUUGUGUUGGGGACCUGCGUCUGCCCGCAGGCCCUGAAAACCAGUGGCGGGCUCGCUGUCACACCGAGCGUAGUAGCAAUCACCUCGCUCAGGGCGUGCUGCGGGUUCCGGCCGUUAAACAGCCUUACAAAACCCAAGGUUGACCUCGGAUCAGGUAGGAAGACCCGCUGAACUUAAGC